rnacentral:tRNA from 1 species
UCCCUGGAGGACUAGUGGUUAGGCCUCAUUGCUCUUGCCGCAGUGGCCCGGGUUCAAUUCCCAGCCAGGGAA